CCUACGGGAGGCAGCAGUGGGGAAUCUUGCGCAAUGGGCGAAAGCCUGACGCAGCAACGCCGCGUGGGGGAUGAAGGCUCUCGGGUUGUAAACCCCUUUCAGCAGGGACGAAUCAAGACGGUACCUGCAGAAGAAGCCCCGGCUAACUACGUGCCAGCAGCCGCGGUAACACGUAGGGGGCAAGCGUUGUCCGGAUUUAUUGGGCGUAAAGAGCUCGUAGGUGGCUGAGUAAGUCGGAUGUUAAAUCCCCAGGCUCAACCUGGGACACCACCCGAUACUGCUCUGGCUAGAGUCCGGUAGGGGAGCGUGGAAUUCCUGGUGUAGCGGUGAAAUGCGCAGAUAUCAGGAGGAACACCAGCGGCGAAGGCGGCGCUCUGGGCCGGUACUGACACUGAGGAGCGAAAGCGUGGGUAGCAAACAGGAUUAGAUACCCUGGUAGUCCACGCCGUAAACGUUGGGCACUAGGUGUGGGGUCUAUUCAACGGACUCCGUGCCGCAGCUAACGCAUUAAGUGCCCGCCUGGGGAGUACGGCCGCAGGCUAAAACUCAAAGGAAUUGACGG
rnacentral:rRNA from 1 species